GGCUUAGAGUUUGAUCAUGGCUCAGGAUGAACGCUGGCGGCGUGCCUAACACAUGCAAGUCGAGCGAAGCACUUUACUUUGAGAUCUUCGGAAGGAUAAGUUUUGUGACUGAGCGGCGGACGGGUGAGUAACGCGUGGGUAACCUGCCUCAUACAGGGGGAUAACAGUUAGAAAUGACUGCUAAUACCGCAUAAGACCGCAGCACCGCAUGGUGCAGGGGUAAAAACUCCGGUGGUAUGAGAUGGAACCGCGUCUGAUUAGCUAGUUGGUAAGGUAACGGCUUACCAAGGCAACGAUCAGUAGCCGACCUGAGAGGGUGACCGGCCACAUUGGGACUGAGACACGGCCCAAACUCCUACGGGAGGCAGCAGUGGGGAAUAUUGCACAAUAGGGGAAACCCUGAUGCAGCGACGCCGCGUGAGCGAAGAAGUAUUUCGGUAUGUAAAGCUCUAUCAGCAGGGAAGAAACUGACGGUACCUGACUAAGAAGCACCGGCUAAAUACGUGCCAGCAGCCGCGGUAAUACGUAUGGUGCAAGCGUUAUCCGGAUUUAAUGGGUGUAAAGGGAGCGUAGACCGAUAGGCAAGUCUGGAGUGAAAGCCCGGGGCUCAACCCCGGGACUGCUUUGGAAACUGUUUAUCUAGAGUGCUGGAGAGGUAAGUG
rnacentral:rRNA from 1 species